rnacentral:lncRNA from 1 species
UCCUCAACAAUUCCCACUCAGAUUGUUUGCAAUACUGAAGGCAGAUAAUGGCUUUGAUUAAGUCAUAGUCUUCAUAUCCUAAUUGCAUUUCCUUGUUGCCAGAACCAAGAAUUUCAAGGUUGGCAUAUCUGACUCUCAGCAGAAAGGUUGGAGGUAAGUAGAGGUUUACCAUUUUCCUCAAAAAAGGUAGAUGUUAGCCAUGUCUUUUAUCUAUUAAAGCUUCUGCCACGAAC